GUGCAAUGGCAUAAGCCAGCUUGACUGCGAGCGUGACGGCGCGAGCAGGUGCGAAAGCAGGUCAUAGUGAUCCGGUGGUUCUGAAUGGAAGGGCCAUCGCUCAACGGAUAAAAGGUACUCCGGGGAUAACAGGCUGAUACCGCCCAAGAGUUCAUAUCGACGGCGGUGUUUGGCACCUCGAUGUCGGCUCAUCACAUCCUGGGGCUGAAGUAGGUCCCAAGGGUAUGGCUGUUCGCCAUUUAAAGUGGUACGCGAGCUGGGUUUAGAACGUCGUGAGACAGUUCGGUCCCUAUCUGCCGUGGGCGCUGGAGAACUGAGGGGGGCUGCUCCUAGUACGAGAGGACCGGAGUGGACGCAUCACUGGUGUUCGGGUUGUCAUGCCAAUGGCACUGCCCGGUAGCUAAAUGCGGAAGAGAUAAGUGCUGAAAGCAUCUAAGCACGAAACUUGCCCCGAGAUGAGUUCUCCCUGACUCCUUG
rnacentral:rRNA from 1 species